GACCCUGUAGCGCAAUGGAGAGUGCUUUGGAUUUCUAGUCCAAAGGUCGUGGUUUCGAAUUCCACCUGGGACG